rnacentral:rRNA from 1 species
AUUGAACGCUGGCGGCAUGCUUUACACAUGCAAGUCGAACGGUAACAGGCCGCCAGGUGCUGACGAGUGGCGAACGGGUGAGUAAUGCAUCGGAACGUGCCCAGUCGUGGGGGAUAACUACUCGAAAGAGUAGCUAAUACCGCAUACGAUCUAUGGAUGAAAGCGGGGGACCGUAAGGCCUCGCGCGAUUGGAGCGGCCGAUGUCAGAUUAGGUAGUUGGUGGGGUCAAGGCUCACCAAGCCAACGAUCUGUAGCUGGUCUGAGGGGAGGACCAGCCACACUGGGACUGAGACACGGCCCAGACUCCGACGGGAGGCAGCAGUGGGGAAUUUUGGACAAUGGGCGCAAGCCUGAUCCAGCAAUGCCGCGUGCAGGAAGAAGGCCUUCGGGUUGUAAACUGCUUUUGUACGGAACGAAACGGCUCUGGUUAAUACCCGGGGCUAAUGACGGUACCGUAAGAAUAAGCACCGGCUAACUACGUG